CUCUGACCCGGCCACUGGGCCUCUGUGUUGAUGAACAUUUCCCCCAGCUUUGUUGAGAUAUAACUGAUGUAUUAUUUAAGUUUAAGGUGGACCAAGAGUUGAUGUGAUACAUUUAUAUUUGCAAAAUAUUGGCCAUACCUGGCAUGCACAUUUUGAUACAGUUUUUGCUUUUCUAGACCCAUCUGUUGGAUUUGGCUCUGUGGAGAACCCUCUCCUCCUUGGAACCUCAGUGUUUUUCCAACUUGUAAAAACUGCAACUCAACUUAAGAAGGAACCUUCUACAUGGUAACCCAGUAAACAGGGGCUGGAGAGUGGAUUUGGCCAAGGCUUGCAUGUCUGCAAAGGAGAAUGAAGCAGCCUUGACUCUAGAAGUUGCAGCUGAAUGGCCAGCAUUGAAAAUUCAGCGACUCUUUUCCACUGUUUUUUUUUUUUUUUGAAGCCAAGGGAAGGAACUGUCUCAGAACCUGGCUGACCUGAUUCUGCUGAUGACUCAGCUCAGAAGGACGCCUCAUCGGGAAAGUGAAUCAUGUAAUGACAGGACCCUCUGGAUUCAUCCAAGAAAAAGUGCAAGAAAACAGAUAAAUAUAGUCCUGUGUGAUGGAUAAACCCCAGAGCAUAGCACUGCCAAGGGCAGGAUUAGACUGUGGGGUUGCUAACUGAUAUCUGGGGCAGGAGAGACUUGGCCCAGAAUCUGGAUCAUGAAGAUAAGGAGAUUUCAUAGAAGAAUCCAGUUUCUCUGGAAAAUGAGAAGAUCUGGAAAGACCAGGACUGCAUUCUCCUGCAGCAACAAUAGCCUGGAGUUGCACAAGGACCGGCCGUGUCCAGUUCACCAUCGUCCUCACAUCCGUUGUUUCCUAAGUGCCCACUAGGCUAAUUAAAGGUUGG